UACGUAGGGUGCAAGCGUUGUCCGGAAUCACUGGGCGUAAAGGGCGCGUAGGCGGGCUCUUAAGUCAGGGGUGAAAGCCCAAGGCUCAACCUUGGAAUUGCCUUUGAUACUGGCUGUCUUGAGUUCGGGAGAGGUGAGUGGAAUGCCGAGUGUAGAGGUGAAAUUCGUAGAUAUUCGGCGGAACACCAGUGGCGAAGGCGACUCACUGGCCCGAUACUGACGCUGAGGCACGAAAGCGUGGGGAGCAAACAGG
rnacentral:rRNA from 1 species